UGACAUGGUCGCUACACAAGGGGGUCGC
rnacentral:sRNA from 1 species